rnacentral:rRNA from 1 species
UGAGGAACAUGACCUUCGGCGGGGGAUAGCCGGCCCAACGGCCGGGUAAUACCGCGUACGACCACAUGGGGACAUCCCUGAGUGGUGAAAGCAGCAAUGCGCCGAUGGAGUGCCUCGCGGCCUAUCAGCUAGUUGGUGAGGUAAUGGCUCACCAAGGCGACGACGGGUAGCCGGCCUGAGGAGGGCGAUCGGCCACACGUGGGACUGAGACACGGCCCAGACCUCCGUAGGGACGG